rnacentral:misc_RNA from 1 species
UUAGGUGAACCUGCGGAAGGAUCAUUAACACGUAUCCAACGUUAAACAACCCUGUGAACCUUGAACGUGCUCUCGUACACGCUCUAGCAGCAAUGGGUCAGAAAACUGGUGUAGGUGCCGAAGCACAGAGGCCCGGUCGCCGGCCGUGUGGGCCUACAGCGAUCGUUUACUGCGCCAUCCUUGCGCAACCACUGACAGAUUGCUAGGAUGCCGCCGCACUUACUCUGGCGCUCGUAUCGUAUGGUUUUCUAGCAGAAGUCCCAGACUCAAUAGCUGGUCAACAAUGAUUUACCAGGGAACUGUUAACAAUGGAUAUCUUGGUUCUU